rnacentral:rRNA from 1 species
CCUACGGGUGGCAGCAGUGAGGAAUAUUGGUCAAUGGACGAGAGUCUGAACCAGCCAAGUAGCGUGAAGGAUGACUGCCCUAUGGGUUGUAAACUUCUUUUAUAUGGGAAUAAAAUGUUCCACGUGUGGGCUUUUGUAUGUACCAUAUGAAUAAGGAUCGGCUAACUCCGUGCCAGCAGCCGCGGUAAUACGGAGGAUCCGAGCGUUAUCCGGAUUUAUUGGGUUUAAAGGGUGCGCAGGUGGAUUGUUAAGUCAGUUGUGAAAGUUUGCGGCUCAACCGUAAAAUUGCAGUUGAAACUGGCAGUCUUGAGUACAGUAGAGGUGGGCGGAAUUCGUGGUGUAGCGGUGAAAUGCUUAGAUAUCACGAAGAACUCCGAUUGCGAAGGCAGCUCACUGGACUGCAACUGACACUGAGGCUCGAAAGUGUGGGUAUCAAACAGGAUUAGAUACCCUUGUAGUC